rnacentral:rRNA from 1 species
AUGAGUGAUCAUAAUUGUGUUGUGUUCAAUUGGAAUGUGAGGGGACUGAAUAACCCCGCACGUCGCCAAGUUGUUCGUGAUUUGGUUGUUCGCAACCGCGCCUCCAUUGUCUGUCUCCAAGAGACCAAACUGGACUCCGUGGAUAAAAGGCUAAUUUUGGAGCUCCUUGGCCCCUUGUUCACUGAUGCCUUCUGCUUCCUCCCCGCGGACGGAACCAGGGGAGGAAUUAUCUUGGCUUUCAGUUCUGACCUCUUCAACAUCCAGAGCUCCUCCACCACCGCCAACACGGUCUCUGCUACUAUUGUCAUGCACGCCUUUGUCGCUUCUUGGAGUGUCACUGCGGCACUUUGUUCUGGACCCGAACAGGGAAGAUAG